rnacentral:lncRNA from 1 species
ACUAGAAACCCUGACUAAGACACACCAGGACACCAGGGGGCUGGGAGCAGCUCUACUGGUUGAGAUGGCACCCCAAGUCUAUAAUUACAGAUGUGACCCACCAAGCAAUCAGUCCAGCUAGAUGCUUCGAACAGAUAUAUCCUCUGAGGCAGUUCCUCUCCGACUCAAGAGUAUGAGGCUCUGUCAAAGGCUGCAGCCUGGUUAAUAAGCUGCAGUCACCGCCCACACCAUUCUGGAUUUCUGCUGUCUGGUGAACAGUGAGGACAUCUCACCUUGUGGACCAGCCACCUAUUAUAGACUUUAGUUUCAGGGGAAAAAUAACUUGCAUCUGAAGACGAGUUACUUAACUGGCUUCGUUAACCUGAUGAUGUGGCUCUUUCCCCUUCCAGUAUCUUCCGGAUCUCUGGAGAUGUAUAUGGGUGACCUGGAUGGACAGCAAAGGAAUCAAAUCCCUCAAAUAAUUUAUUUGACUU